GGGGGGGGCAAGCGUUGUUCGGAAUUACUGGGCGUAAAGGGCUCGUAGGUGGCCAACUAAGUCAUACGUGAAAUCCCUCGGCUUAACCGGGGAACUGCGUCUGAUACUGGUUGGCUUGAGUUUGGGAGAGGGACGCGGAAUCCCAGGUGUAGCGGUGAAAUGCGUAGAUAUCUGGAGGAACACCGGUGGCGAAGGCGGCGUCCUGGACCAAUACUGACACUGAGGGGCGAAAGCCAGGGGAGCAAACGGGAUUAGAUACCCCGGUAGUCCUGGCCCUAAACGAUGAAUGCUUGGUGUGGCGGGUAUCGAUCCCUGCCGUGCCGAAGCUAACGCAUUAAGCAUUCCGCCUGGGGAGUACGGUCGCAAGGCUG
rnacentral:rRNA from 1 species